CAGAGCCGCCGCUCGGAUAGCGUCGGCUCUGCAUGAGCCGACCGGGGAGAUCCAGAGAUCUCCCCUGCCGGUCUCAAUCCAUUGGCGUGCCGCAGGGAUUAGGGUGUGCCCAGGCACACCCGACACACCCCGUGCGCACGCCUAUAGAAGUGAGGGAUGGGGGAGACAGCCUACAUGAAGAGUCAGCAAGGAGCAGGAAGGUAAGGUAAGAAAAGGAGAAGGAACAGAAAUGAGCAGGAAGGGACAUCAAGGAGCAGAAAGGGGCAGCAAGGAGCUGGAAGGGACAGCAAGGAGCACAAAAGGUAAAGUAGGAGAAGGAGCACAAAGGAACAGAAAUGAACAGGAAGGGUCAGCAAGGAGCUGGAAGGUAAAG